rnacentral:rRNA from 1 species
AUUGAACGCUGGCGGCAUGCUUUACACAUGCAAGUCGAACGGCAGCGCGGGCUUCGGCCUGGCGGCGAGUGGCGAACGGGUGAGUAAUGCAUCGGAACGUGCCCAGUAGUGGUGGAUAGCCCGGCGAAAGCCGGAUUAAUACCCCAUACGACCUUACGGUGAAAGCGGGGGAGCGAGAGGCCUCCGGCUAUUGGAGCGGCCGAUGUCGGAUUGGCUAGUUGGUGGGGUAAAGGCUUACCAAGGCGACGAUCCGUAUCUGGUCUGAGAGGAGGACCAGCCACACUGGGACUGAGACACGGCCCAGACUCCUACGGGAGGCAGCAGUGGGGAAGUUUGGAAAAUGGGGGGAACACUGAUCCAGCGAUGCCGCGUGCGGGAAGAAGGCCUUCGGGUUGUAAACCGCUUUUGUUCGGGAAGAAAUCCUCUGGGCUAAUACCACGGGGGGAUGACGGUACCGGAAGAAUAAGCACCGGCUAACUACGUG